GGGGGGGGGGCAUUUAGCCCUUCCCAGGGAGAUGGGGGCAGCGUACGAGAGGUGGAUCUUUGGGGGUGACCUCCCUUCAGCAGCCUCCUCACCUCUCCCCGUAGGCCCCACACCCGCCAGCCUUAGAAUUCAUGGGUGGUAGCUCCUGCCGGACACUCACUGUGCGGGGGAAUCUCUCGGCCCAGUUCAAGGGGUGUCCACGGCCUUUUGAUCUCCCUCUCCUGCUGGUCCCAGGCGCGGGGAGCUCUCCCCCCCCCAAAACUUGGGGAUUCAGCAAACUCCCAGCUCCAGCCCCCUUAAUGCAGGGGCAGGAUCCCUCCCUCCUCUCCUCUCCGUCCAUCCUGUCCCCUCCACCCGUGCUCCAAACCCCCUCCCCAGCCCUCUGCUGCAGUUGAACCCAGAGAGCCACAGAACCACCCCAGGCUCAUGUAGCACAUUUUGGGCAGAGAAGCGGGGGGGAGGGGGCUCUGCAGACCUCCCCAGCACCGAAUGAGCUUCCCAGAGCCAUCCCCUCAAAUACCUCUAUUUAUUUGGAAGGCAGAGCUUCAAACUCUCCAAUCAGCUUCCAGCUCCACCCACCAAUGAGAAGUCUGGGGCUCCUCCUUCCGGUGAAAGAUCUCCUCUGUGAUUGGCUAACUGCUAGCCAAUGGCUAGGAAGAUGUGCUUAUUUGGUGAUUCAGUUUCCCAUGGGGUCAUGGGCCAAGCUGGGAUGGGGCAGCUGGAGCCCGACAGAAUCCACAGCCCCACCAGCCAUAGCACGGAUUAGAACCCACCACCUGCUGAGCCCAAAGCCACCUGUGCAAAUUCUACAUCCCCAGUAGGGGGCAGUGGUGCAGGCACCACUGCAUUGCAGCAGGGUUGAGAGAGAUGCCAUUGCCUCUGGGCAAGGCUUCUCCAAACCUCCCCCCACCAGGAGAUGGCAUGCAGGAGUGGGAGGGGUAUUUAGUUGCACCACAUGGCCAGGCACCCAUGGGGGCCAAUCUGGGGCCCUUCUGGUACCCCCGCCCCACCUUGAACUGAGGGUACAGCGCUCCCAGCUGGGAGCUAGUAAAAGGUUGCCCUCAUGAGCACAUGAUCCCUGUGCCAAGUUCAGUGGGUUUAGCUCCCCCCUUUCCCGUCACACCCCUCUUUGGCCCAACCCCCAUCAUGUUACCCCUUCUCAUGGGCUGCGGUUAGCUGGAGAGGAAGCGGCAUCCCCGCUAGCUGCCCAGUAGGUGCCUGCAGCAUAGCGCUGCUAGCUUGGCAACUGCCGGUAUGUCUACACUACAGAGUUUUGUCGGAAAAACCUGAGUUACGUUCACACUGCAAGCACAUUCUUCCAAAAGUAAAUCGAAAGAACAGAGGGGUUUUUCCGGCGUUGGUAAUCCUCUUCCUACGAGGAAGAAGCCUUUUUCCGAAAGAGCUCUUUCAGAAACAGCUGUGUGUGGAUGGGGAAGAGGGAGUUCUUUCAGAAGAAGAGGAAAGAGGAAAAAGCACAGGUGCCCUGGUGGCCACUCCGUCCAUAGUCAUCAUAGCUUACAUGCGAGAAAGCGUCCAUUGAGUGUGGACACGAUCUUUUGAAAAGAUUGCUUUUUUUUUGUGCUUUCUCUCUUUUGGAAGAAGUUUUUUCUGAAGCUCUCUUCUGCAAAAAGGUUCUUCCGAAAGAAGCCUGCAGUCUAGACAUAGCCUGGGUCUUGGGAUUGGCCGUCCAUGGCAGCCACAGAGGGGGAGGGACCUGUCCAGCGGAUAGGGUGCCUGCAGCACCACUUGGUGGUGAGUAGGGCCACGCAAAUACCAAAUAAUGAGCAUCAAAUCUACGGCAGCCCAACUGAGAUCGGGGCCCCCGUUGUGCCAGGCACCACGCAAACCUUCAACAGGACCCACACACACACCUCAAGGACCUGACUCGCUAAACAGCCAAGCAGCGGGGAAGGGAAACCGAGGCACAGAGCAGGGUGGUGACUUGCCCAAGGUGACCCAGUAGGGCAAAGCUGGCAAGAGCACCUAGCCCAGUGCCUCCUCCAAUUGCCCAGCCCCAGUUCCCAUUGCCACCCUGCCUGGAGCCACAGCGCUUCCUGGCUGGCUGGAAACACCAGACGAGUCCCUGUGCCUUUAGACGUGACCUCGCCCCGCCCCCCGCGUCACCCCAAAACAUGGGCCAGUGAGAUCCUCAGGGCUGCACACUAAGGGCAAGUACUUCCCCUGGGGAAUUCGGUUUCCUUGGUGCGCUAGGGCCUGUGCCGAAUGCCUGUCUGCGCUUUCUCGUUCCUUCUUCCCUUUGUUUCUUCCCUGCUCUCUUCGUCUCUCCCUUGGAAUUCCGUUGCUCCGUCCUUCCUCUAUUCAAUAUGCCAAACCAAUUUUGGGUCGAGUGCAUUAAACAGAACAAAAGACAACAAAAGAAUUAUAACAAUAAUGAUGAUGCAGAUCAUUUAAAAAAAAAAAGAACAAAAAAAUACAAAAAAAAUGGCAACUAUUGUUGAGUUACAAUCGCGAAAUUCAAACAAUAAAGGAAACGAGUUCUUGGAACCAA